CGGAUGCGCUGUGGUGGGAUCUCCAGCCGCCCGUCCUCUCGACCUGACUCACCUUCCCCGGUGUCAGGCUGAGCGGCACAGGCGCGGAUGGGGAUCCGACUGCACCGCCAUCACGGC
rfam:Tersicoccus sp. Bi-70 scaffold3_cov1105_read202, whole genome shotgun sequence.